rnacentral:rRNA from 1 species
GAUGACAUUACUGAGUGAGGGCCCUCUGGGUCCAACCUCCCACCCGUGUUUAUUGUACCUUGUUGCUUCGGUGCGCCCGCCUCACGGCCGCCGGGGGGCUUCUGCCCCCGGGUCCGCGCGCACCGGAGACACCAUUGAACUCUGUCUGAAGAUUGCAGUCUGAGCAUAAACUAAAUAAGUUAAAACUUUCAACAACGGAUCUCUUGGUUCCGGCAUCGAUGAAGAACGCAGCGAAAUGCGAUAACUAAUGUGAAUUGCAGAAUUCAGUGAAUCAUCGAGUCUUUGAACGCACAUUGCGCCCCCUGGUAUUCCGGGGGGCAUGCCUGUCCGAGCGUCAUUGCUGCCCUCAAGCACGGCUUGUGUGUUGGGCUCCGUCCCCCCGGGGACGGGUCCGAAAGGCAGCGGCGGCACCGAGUCCGGUCCUCGAGCGUAUGGGGCUUUGUCACCCGCUCUGUAGGCCCGGCCGGCGCCAGCCGACAACCAAUCAUCCUUUUUUCAGGUUGACCUCGGAUCAGGUAGGGAUACCCGCUGAACUUAAGCAUAUCA